ACUGGCACAAUGAUGAUUUACUUUUUGCCGUUUACCCAUCUGAAAUUUUGCUGAUGUGUCUUUAGUAAUUCUGAGGUGCCAGU